CCUGGAGAAAAGGUGACAGGACAGCCCCGUGGGCCCCCAGGGGGACUGGGAGGUGCCGUAGCCCCUCUGAAUCAACGCCCAGCCCCUGCUGUGUCACGGCCCACCCCAUGAGAUGUGGAGUGUGAUGCCUCUCCUCCCUCCGCAACAGGCCUGUCUGCUCUCCCUGUCCCGCCCCCCGCCCCCCCUCCCCGGCAGACUGCCACUCCUUCCGGCCCCCGGCCUCUGCCCCUCUUCUCACAAUUCAGGCAAUCGCCCCUGCAGCCCACAGGCUCCAUAAGAUCCCGACGUGUCUCUAGCCGGGGCAGCUGAGCCCAGGAGUUGAUGCUCAGACUGAAUCAGACCCAAGUCCAGAGGACUUUGCUGGUGGGUUUUUUCCACACUACUCCCAGCUCGAAACCCUUCCCUGUUACUGAAACCAGCAAAUGUUUGCUACCAGAUGCUGGGAGGUCUGCUGCUGAACCACCCAGGGCACCUUUUCAGCACUAAGACACUUGCAAAGCAAAUAGGGAAGAAGCCCCAGUAAGCCCAAGCCCUGUAUCCAGCAGCUGCCCACAGGACACCACCCGCGGGGAUGACCAACUGGAAUCUCAAGUCCAAAACCAGGCUCCGGAUUUCUUCUGCCUUCACCGUCGCGGCCACGGCAUCACCUGUCGCCUUACUCCUCGAGCCCAUAAACAUUUUAAAAUAAUUGCA